rnacentral:rRNA from 1 species
GGGGGCGGCUAUACAUGCAGUCGAGCGAGCUGAAUUCAAAGAUUCCUUCGGGAUGAUUUGUUGGACGCUAGCGGCGGAUGGGUGAGUAACACGUGGGCAAUCUGCCCUAAAGACUGGGAUACCACUUGGAAACAGGUGCUAAUACCGGAUAACAACAUGAAUCGCAUGAUUCAAGUUUGAAAGGCGGCGUAAGCUGUCACUUUAGGAUGAGCCCGCGGCGCAUUAGCUAGUUGGUGGGGUAAAGGCCUACCAAGGCAAUGAUGCGUAGCCAAGUUGAGAGACUGAUCGGCCACAUUGGGACUGAGACACGGCCCAAACUCCUACGGGAGGCAGCAGUAGGGAAUCUUCCACAAUGGACGCAAGUCUGAUGGAGCAACGCCGCGUGAGUGAAGAAGGUUUUCGGAUCGUAAAGCUCUGUUGUUGGUGAAGAAGGAUAGAGGCAGUAACUGGUCUUUAUUUGACGGUAAUCAACCAGAAAGUCACGGCUAACUACGUGCCAGCAGCCGCGGUAAUACGUAGGUGGCAAGCGUUGUCCGGAUUUAUUGGGCGUAAAGCGAGCGCAGGCGGAAUGAUAAGUCUGAUGUGAAAGCCCACGGCUCAACCGUGGAACUGCAUCGGAAACUGUCAUUCUUGAGUGCAGAAGAGGAGAGUGGAAUUCCAUGUGUAGCGGUGGAAUGCGUAGAUAUAUGGAAGAACACCAGUGGCGAAGGCGGCUCUCUGGUCUGCAACUGACGCUGAGGCUCGAAAGCAUGGGUAGCGAACAGGAUUAGAUACCCUGGUAGUCCAUGCCGUAAACGAUGAGCGCUAGGUGUUGGGGACUUUCCGGUCCUCAGUGCCGCAGCAAACGCAUUAAGCGCUCCGCCUGGGGAGUACGACCGCAAGGUUGAAACUCAAAGGAAUUGACGGGGGCCCGCACAAGCGGUGGAGCAUGUGGUUUAAUUCGAAGCAACGCGAAGAACCUUACCAGGUCUUGACAUCCUGUGCUACACCUAGAGAUAGGUGGUUCCCUUCGGGGACGCAAAGACAGGUGGUGCAUGGCUGUCGUCAGCUCGUGUCGUGAAAUGUUGGGUUAAGUCCCGCAACGAGCGCAACCCUUGUCUUUAGUUGCCAUCAUUAAGUUGGGCACUCUAAAGAGACUGCCGGUGACAAACCGGAAGAAAGGGGGGGAUGACAUUCAAGUCAUCAUGGCCCCUUAUGAACUGGGGGUACAACCGUGGUUACAAUGGGGGAGUACAACAAAAAAACGACACCCGCGGGUG